CGCAAGGCUAAAACUCAAAGAAAUUGACGGGGACCCGCACAAGCGGUGGAGUAUGUGGCUUAAUUCGAUGCAAACCGCGAAGAACCUUACCUGGCCUUGACAUGCAUUGUGUCGUCGGUUGAAAGCCGGCUAGUCCUGGAAACAGGACGCUUUGCACAGGUGCUGCAUGGCUGUCGUCAGCUCGUGUCGUGAGAUGUUGGGUUAAGUCCCGCAACGAGCGCAACCCUUGUGGUCAGUUACUAACCGGCUUAGCCGGAGGACUCUGGCCAGACUGCCCUGUCAAACGGGGAGGAAGGUGGGACCGACGUCAAGUCAGUAUGGCCCUUAUGGCCAGGGCUGCACACGUACUACAAUGCCCGGUACAAUGUGAACCGAAACCGCGAGGUGGAGGAAUCGCUCUUGAAACCGGGCACAGUUCGGAUUGAGUCGCAACUGACUCCAUGAAUCGGAAUCGCUAGUAAUGGCGUAUCAGCAACGACGCCGUGAAUACGUCCCGGGUCUGUACACACCGCCCGUCACAUCAUGAAGUCUCCGUACCCGAAGCACGUGCGCCA
rnacentral:rRNA from 1 species